AAAAAAAAAAACCGUACCGUAAACCGACACUGGUAGGCAGGGUGAGAAUCCCAAGGCGCUUGAGAGAACUCGGGUGAAGGAACUAGGCAAAAUGGCACCGUAACUUCGGGAGAAGGUGCGCCCUUUGGUGUGGUCACGUGCGUGACUGAGCAUCGAAGGGUCGCAGUAACCUGGCCGCUGCGACUGUUUAUCAAAAACACAGCACUCUGCAAACACGAAAGUGGACGUAUAGGGUGUGACGCCUGCCCGGUGCUGGAAGGUUAAUUGAUGGGGUCAGCCGCAAGGCGAAGCUCUUGAUCGAAGCCCCAGUAAACGGCGGCCGUAACUAUAACGGUCCUAAGGUAGCGAAAUUCCUUGUCGGGUAAGUUCCGACCUGCACGAAUGGCGUAACGACAGCGGCGCUGUCUCCACCCGAGACUCAGUGAAAUUGAAAUCGCUGUGAAGAUGCAGCGUUCCCGCGGCAAGACGGAAAGACCCCGUGAACCUUUACUAUAGCUUUACAUUGAACGUUGAGUUCUUCUGUGUAGGAUAGGUGGGAGGCUAUGAAACCGAGACGCUAGUUUCGGUGGAGCCAUCCUUGAAAUACCACCCUGAAGUGCUUGACGUUCUAACCUAGGUCCGUAAUCCGGAUCGGGGACCAUGUAUGGUGGGUAGUUUGACUGGGGCGGUCUCCUCCCAAAGAGUAACGGAGGAGCACGAAGGUACGCUCAGCGCGGUCGGACAUCGCGCACUGUGUGCAAAGGCAUAAGCGUGCUUGACUGCGAGAUCGACGGAUCAAGCAGGUACGAAAGUAGGUCUUAGUGAUCCGGUGGUUCUGUAUGGAAGGGCCAUCGCUCAAUGGAUAAAAGGUACUCCGGGGAUAACAGGCUGAUACCGCCCAAGAGUUCAUAUCGACGGCGGUGUUUGGCACCUCGAUGUCUGCUCAUCACAUCCUGGGGCUGUAGCCGGUCCCAAGGGUAUGGCUGUUCGCCAUUUAAAGUGGUACGCGAGCUGGGUUCAGAACGUCGUGAGACAGUUCGGUCCCUAUCUGUCGUGGGCGUUGGAGAUUUGAGGGGGGCUGCUCCUAGUACGAGAGGACCGGAGUGGACGUUCCGCUGGUGUUCGGGUUGUCAUGCCCAUGGCAUUGCCCGGUAGCUACGAACGGAAGUGAUAACCGCUGAAAGCAUCUAAGCGGGAAGCACGCCCCAAGAUGAGAUCUCCCGAGAGCUAGACUCUCCUUAAGGCACCAUCAAGACUAGGUGGUUGAUAGGCACGGUGUGGAAGUGCAGCAAUGCAUUGAGCUUACGUGUACUAAUGAGCCGUGAGGCUUGAUCAA
rnacentral:rRNA from 1 species